rnacentral:lncRNA from 1 species
UAGGAUCAGAGUCUUCAUACCGAGAUCAUCAAGGCAUAGAUGAUCUUCUCCACCUUGGGAUAUUUGUUCUCUACAUCUCUUAAUACCCAGCUUGUGUAGUAGACAAACUUCUGCACUCCUUCCUCUCAGAUGAGGAUUGAAUUAACGGCUGCAAAGAAAAUGCCAAGAUAUAAGUACAACAUCUCUUCUUCAACAUGUAUGGUCAA